UGAGGAAUAUUGGUCAAUGGACGCAAGUCUGAACCAGCCAAGUAGCGUGCAGGAUGACGGCCCUCCGGGUUGUAAACUGCUUUUAGUUGGGAAUAAAAGGGCGCACGUGUGCGUCGUAUUGCAAGUACCGUCAGAAAAAGGACCGGCUAAUUCCGUGCCAGCAGCCGCGGUAAUACGGAAGGUCCGGGCGUUAUCCGGAUUUAUUGGGUUUAAAGGGAGCGUAGGCGGGCUAUUAAGUCAGCUGUGGAAUCCGGCGGCUCAACCGUCGGCCUGCAGUUGAUACUGGUGGUCUUGAGUGCGCGCAGGGGCGUUGGAAUUCAUGGUGUAGCGGUGAAAUGCUCAGAUAUCAUGAAGAACUCCGAUCGCGAAGGCAGAUGCCCGGAGCGCAACUGA
rnacentral:rRNA from 1 species